rnacentral:lncRNA from 1 species
AUGCUUGGGAAGGUCCCGAGUGGCUCCCCUUCCCUCAUCCCCAUCCCCCUUUCCACUUCCUGCAGGGUGGAAAAGGAAGAGGAAGGAGGGGAGAGAAUGGGAAGGGGAUACACGUGUGGACGGUGCCCCCACCCCACCCUUCCUGCUGCUUCCUGUCCCCAUACCUGUGGUCUCCUCUCCAGAAGCCCCCUCUGCAGUUCUGACCUCAGUCCUUUUGCUACAGUGUUUCCUGGGGCAGGGGCUAGGGGUGGGGACCUUCAGGUUCUUCUUUUACCCCAUUUUACCAAGUGCCCCAUCCCCCCCUUUUUUGAUCAUCUCUUCACUUUCUAAUGUCCAAUUUCCCAAGGUCCCCUGCUCCUGCCUCACCACCUUUCCCACUGACAGUGUCUCUUCCUGGCAAGUGGAGAUUGGAGGGAAGCAGGCAGUAAGUAAGAGAUCCUUGGGCCGCCCCAUGGAGAUCCCAAAACUUCCCUCCUGAGGGUAAAGCAUUGGCCAAAGGCUAGAGCCCUCCCUGUUCUAGCAGUUUCUUCCUACUCCCCUGACUUCUCAUCUUGCCUCUACAAUCCCUCUCCACUUCCAGAACAUCUCUUGCCCUCUCUGUGUUUCUAUCCUUUGCUCCUCUUGUCUAGAUCUCCUCUGUCUUGUCUCUCUCGUUUCAUCCUCUUGUCUCUCCCCUGUGAGUUUUUGUCUGUCUGUCUGUCUCCCUGUUUCUGUUUACCUGUCUGUGUGUGUGUGUGUGUGUGAGAGAGAGGGGGGGGGUCACAGCCUGAGUCUGGCUGGCUGUCUCUGUCCCUCUUGGAAGUCCUCCCCGUCCCCACCUCGUGUGUCUCUGCUCCUCUCCAUGUCUGUCUGGGUUGCUCUGUGUCUCCAUGAUUCCCUGAUUGUUUUUCAUAAAGUGCCAAAUUUUCUAGGGGAGAAGCUGUUGUCAGGGAGUGCUAGUCUCAUGUGGGAGGGAGCAGGGGAUAGCCAGGGCUGUCUCCCACCCCAAGUCUUUGGUCCUUGAACCACCCAGGAUCCCGUUAACCUGGAUUCCUAUGUUCUUUCCACCAGACUUUUCUUAAGAGCUUUGUAAGAAAAGAAAAAAAGAAAAAUUCCCCCCCUCAGUCCCUGAGACGCCUAACACUAGCCCCCUCACUCCUCCCUCCGUAGCCAAGAAGUCUGGGGCUAAAAUCCCGACCCUUUCUCCCUGGGAUCAUAAGGAAUUUCAGGGAGACGAGGAACCUUCGCCUCUCUUCCUGGUAGAUAGGAUAGAGGCCAGAUGCAAAUCUCUAAGUACUUCAGAGAGAGAGAAGUUAUAUGUGCCAAAUUCAUCUCCUUGUCUCCCUCUGGG